UACGUAGGUGGCAAGCGUUGUCCGGAUUUAUUGGGUUUAAAGGGUGCGUAGGCGGUCCUAUAAGUCAGUUGUGAAAUACGGCAGCUUAACUGUCGAGGUGCAAUUGAUACUGCAGGACUUGAGUACAGACGAGGUAGGCGGAAUUGACGGUGUAGCGGUGAAAUGCUUAGAUAUGACAUAGAACACCAAUUGCGAAGGCAGCUGGCUACACGAAUAUUGACACUGAUGCACGAAAGCGUGGGGAUCAAACAGG
rnacentral:rRNA from 1 species